rnacentral:rRNA from 1 species
GACGAACGCUGGCGGCGUGCUUAACACAUGCAAGUCGAACGAAGUGGCGAACGGGUGAGUAAAGCGUAAUCAACCUGCCCUUCAGAGGGGGACAACAGUUGGAAACGACUGCUAAUACCGCAUACUGAAGGAGGGGAUUGCGUCUGUUUAGCUAGUUGGAGGGGUAACGGCCCACCAAGGCGAUGAUCAGUAGCCGGGUUGGGGGGAUGGACGGCCACAUGUGGACUGGGACACGGGCCAGGCCCCUACGGGAAGCAGCAGUGGGGAAUCUGCGGAAAUGGAGGAAAGUCUGACGGAGCAACGCCGCGUGGGUGGUGGCGGCCUUCGGGUUGUAAAGCUCUGUUAAUCGGGGCGCGGUACCGGAAUAGAAAGCCACGGCUAACUACGUGCCAGCAGCCGCGGUAAUUC